UCAGACGAUGCGUCAUGCAUAUCAAUAAGCGGAGGAAAAGAAACUAACAAGGAUUCCCCUAGUAACGGCGAGUGAAGCGGGAAGAGCUCAAAUUUGAAAUCUUAAAGGGUUUCCCUUUACGAAUUGUAGUUUAAAGAAGUGUUUUCUGUUGAGGUUUUGGUAAAAGUUCUUUGGAAUAGGACAUCAUAGAGGGUGAGAAUCCCGUAUUUGACCUUUACUUUCAACUUUGUGAUACACUUUCAAAGAGUCGGAUUGUUUGGGAAUGCAGUCCAAAAUGGGUGGUAAAUUUCAUCUAAAGCUAAAUAUUGGCGAGAGACCGAUAGCGAACAAGUACCGUGAGGGAAAGAUGAAAAGAACUUUGAAAAGAGAGUUAAACAGUACGUGAAAUUGUCAAAAGGGAAGCGUUUGACACCAGUGUUGUUUUUCUGAAAAUCAAUUAAAGAACUGUUUAUGCUAAGCUGUUUAGACUUUAUCAGCUAUCUGUUUAGUUUUGAGCUUUUCUUUAAUGCACUUUUCAGUUAACAAGUCAACAUCAAUUUCUUUUGCUGUAAAAAAGCUUGAGGAAGGUGGCUUGAGAUUCGUCUUAAGUGUUUAUAGCCUCUUGCCUAUGCAGUCGGAGAGAUUGAGGUCUGCAGCGUAGAUCCUUCGGGGCUAAAUGCAUUUGUGCUAAGUUAUAGCAUUUUAUAGACAGCUUGUUGACUAUGAUUUGUCUUGUAGCUUACUCGCUUAUGUUAUUUUACCUACGCUUAGGAUGUUGAGCGCAUGUCUCUCUCU
rnacentral:rRNA from 1 species